GCUGAGAUAAAAUCUCAGCCGUUUAAACUCCCAAAAAUAACCGCUCUAAUGGCGGUUCAGGGCGGUUAUUUACGGUUUCUCAGCUGGUGGUUUUACUCCACGUUUUUUCUGCCCAUGAUCUCUGCAUGUCGGUGGUUAUCUCCCCAUUAUCUCCCAUCUAGCGCACCCACUCUCCCUCUCUCUCUCUCUGUAAGUUUCACCUACAAUAAUGGUAUAAUGGGCAGUUUCACUCUCUCUCCUAUUCAUGAGCAAUUAGAGAGAGUUUGUUUUUCUCUUAAAUAACUCAUCUAAUUCCCCAUUUUCAAAUUCGCAGACCCUCAUCCUAUUUCCUCCCUCACGUCACCGCUCCACCCUCUCCGACGACCCCCCCCCCCCCCCGAUCUCCCUACCCUCGUCUGCUAUUUUGGAUUGUGGUGUGACGGAGGGUAUAAUGUUGGGAGAUUGAAGAGUUUGAUAAGGUCAGAUGGUGCUAAUUACACUGCCGAGUUAGAGGAGUUGUAUGCUGCUACCCAAUGUGUCAAAUUCGCAAAGCCUUAGUUCUUCAUACCAAAUACUAUCCCGAUGGCAUUCCCGUCACAAUCAUUGAUACUCCAUCCAGCAUCACAAUCCGUUCACAAUAAUGGCAGUCGAACAAAAGAAGCACGGACUUCGCGAUAGGCUACUUAUCUAGGUUAAGCUUUGUUUCGAUUGUGACAAGGUCCGUGUAUCACUCUCUCCAAUUUUUUUAUUUUGUAGCAGAUUAGGUUUACUUUUAGAUAACUAAGGCUUUGAAAUUUCCUUUGUUAUUGAUUUUAGAGAUUUGUUUCGACUAAUGUUUCCUCUGUUGUGUUUGUUUGAGAAUGUGAGUUGAAGUCGUGUUUUAACUUUCCUCGAGUUGCUUAUUGAACCCUAUUUAUUCAGGUACUUCAACCAUCCCUGCCUCAAGUUGCUUGUGAAUUGUAUUAUAUUUGCAGGCAUUAGCUAAUAUGUAUAUUCAUGGGUUAGCGGAUUUGGAAUCCAAACCAUUCAAAGAGCCGAUUUUAGAACUUGAAUUUGAUUUUGAAAGGCGAAGGUCAACUAAGAAUGAUGUAAGAGAGUUGAUUUAUUGAUACAGCAUGGGAGGUUGGAACUUGGAAUGAUUAUUGGUCUGUCUUUGGGAGGUUUCCUUGCACAUGUUUAUAUCUUCAAUUGUCAUCAUCAUCAUCAGAUGAAGAUGCUUUCUUCACUUCACAUGUGACGUCCCGAAGGCUGGUUUGGAUAAUCAGAUGGAGUUGAAGGUCAAGACUGUUUAAGCAUCUGCAUAUCUUAACGGAACGUUCUGCUUGUAACAAGAGGUAUGGUCUAAGCAGAUGGGAAAGGUACAUAAAAGAAGUUGGGUUAUCGACUGGUUACAAGUAUGUUUUCAGGAUCAUCAAGAAAGAUUGUAUGUUGUUAAAUUCAGUAGCAUAGGUUACAACAAAUAAUGGUACAGUUAAAACCGAAACCUUUUAGGCAUUUUACCUUCUGAACUUUGCUCAUGUUUCGAUGAAUGGUUAUAAACAUGUUUUUUUUACUUUAUAUGUUGGUUGGCUUGUGUGGAUUAAGUUAAUUCUAUGCUAUAAUUCCAACUUGA